GACGAACGCUGGCGGCGUGCCUAAUACAUGCAAGUCGAGCGAAGUUUUUCUGGUGCUUGCACUAGAAAAACUUAGCGGCGCACGGGUGAGUAACACGUAAAGAACCUGCCUCAUAGACUGGGACAACUAUUGGAAACGAUAGCUAAUACCGGAUAACAGUAUUUCUCGCAUGAGAGAUAUUUAAAAGUUGGUUAUGCUAGCACUAUGAGAUGGCUUUGCGGUGCAUUAGCUAGUUGGUGGGGUAAAGGCCCACCAAGGCGACGAUGCAUAGCCGACCUGAGAGGGUGAUCGGCCACACUGGGACUGAGACACGGCCCAGACUCCUACGGGAGGCAGCAGUAGGGAAUCUUCCGCAAUGGGCGAAAGCCUGACGGAGCAACGCCGCGUGAGUGAAGAAGGAUUUCGGUUCGUAAAGCUCUGUUGUUAGGGAAGAAUGGAUAUGUAGUAACUAUACAUGUAAGAGACGGUACCUAACCAGAAAGCCACGGCUAACUACGUG
rnacentral:rRNA from 1 species